rnacentral:lncRNA from 13 species
GUUCAAUGUCAUGACCCUCGACAAUUCACUGGAGGCAGCCACAACUAACGAGUGGGUGUUAAUGCUUGAGACUAAACGUCUCGCCUUCAAGCUACUUUGCUGGAGGUUCCCUUGGCCAUCUCCCGCUCUCUAAUGAUCAUCCCCGGGUCUCCCUGCAAUGUAUAAGAGAACUGAGGCUCGGACAGAAAGAAUGACGUUACCGAAAGUGGCUUUGCUUCUGCCUUGCCAGCCCAUUGCGCACUGCCUGCCGUGGUUCCAGCCCUCGCUGCCUCUCUUGACUAGCGUAGACCUGCCAUUGCGCCAGGCUCCCAUCGCUGCCAUGGCAUUUGGCUGAGCCUGGGCAACGCGAAAGCAUGCAUAGUUAACGCUCCUGACUGUGUGAAACCCUUUGUCGCGGCACCGGCUCUGCGAGGGACCCAGGGCCCGGGGCUUGGCAAGGGCCCGAGACAUUUCUUGGAAUG